CGCCCAUCUAUCUACCAUGGCAUUGCUUUCGUCUCCUGAGAGCUGAGCUCUGCUGCCACCGGCGUGAGUCAAAUCAUCUUCGAAUUCCAUUUUCCAUCCAACAAGGGGAUAUCUACAAGAUCAGCUACAUUUGUGGUGAGGAGAGUAAUUUCUUCUGCAGGAGAUGUGCCCGGCCGUCAUGAUUUUUUUCUGCUGCUGGUACUAGCAGCAGUAGCUGCUACUAAUUCCUUUCAAGAAGAUCAAAAUGGCUGUUACAUAUAUGUUGAGGGUACACUGUUUUGAUGAAGCCCCCAGAAAGCUGCUUGAUCUUAUGUUGAGUUUAGAGUCACAUAACAAAGCUAAAUCAUUCUUCUUGGCUGGGUGGCUCGGUCGUGGUGUUGGAGCCUCUGCUGUUUUUAGAGCCACCGCCAAACUCCUGAAAUCCAGAAGAAGUGCUCCUAACAUGAGAGAGCAGUUUGGCAAAAUUAUCCACGUAGACUGCUCUCUCUGGAAAAAUAGAAGAACUAUGCAGAGGGCAAUCCCGGAGGAAUUGAACCUUGGCCAUUUAAUUACUGAUGGCCCAUUGGACAGGAAGAUGAGAAGAUGCGCAACAACCAGCUGGCACUGCUACAAAAGGUUGCGAGUUUGACGAAGGGGAUAGCCGACCUCUUGGUUUUACCAGGGUUUUAGUUAGCCUUGGAGCGAGCUGAGAGCGUGCGUCCCAUUUUUGAGCUGGCGUCAUUAAGUUGGAGCCUUUUUUUUUUUGGUUCUGGUCAUUCAUCUGGUGGAAAAUCACUGGGAGAAGAAUGAGAAUGAGAAUGUAACUACAAGGGUUUCUGAAUUAGUUUGUUGUUUAUGCUAGU